ensembl:lncRNA
AUCGGACACAGACAAAGGAGGACAUUAUGACCUAGCACGGCCCCUCCAAACAGAGAUGUAAAGAAGAGCAGUGAAAGGGUGAUAAGACUGAAGAAACGAUGAUCCCUCCUCACCAGCGCUCUACCUGGAAAAACCCACCAACCUCAGUGGCCUCCACUCCCAAGCUGCCUCCCACCUCAGGAAGCCUCUCUCCACCCGGGUUCAGAAACCACCUCCAGACAGAGGACAGGGGCGUGCAGAGCCCAUCUUGGCUUUUCCUUCUCUCUGGGACCACAGGCCCGUGCAGCCUGGUGUUGAACAUUUGAAAACAGCUGUUUCAUGUACUGUGUCCAACUUCACAGCACACAAAGCAGCAGCACUAGAAGUUGAUGGUCUUUGGGGAACACGUUUUACAAACAAAUGGAAUUGAUCACUGUGAGUCGGUCAGUGAAUAUCUGCAAGGUACAAACCAACAAACUGUUUUGACAUGUGGUCACGGGCAUGUGUAGACACAAGCAGCUGUUGGCUCCCCUCUGGCUAAGUGACUCCACCUUGUGGAAUAGACUCUGAGGCCGCAGGACUCAAAUACAGCCUCAGGAGCAUUAUAACAUGUGCUGCGCCCUCGCGGUUACUCAUGAGGCAUGAAACCAUGAACGCUGAAUACUGAAAUUCCACAACAGUACAUCCUGCUUGUCACUUAAUAUUUUAUCCUAAGCAUUUCCCUAAGUCAUUAUAGUCGUUAAAUAGUUGCCUGGCAACUUAGUGAAUGGCUUUAACAUCUCUCAUUAUGUGGAUAUGCCAUGUGUUAGCCAUUCCCCUACUCUUGGGACAUUUCAGUUGCUUAAUGCCUUCUAAUUCAGCUUCCCCAUGUGCAAAAAUAGGGCUAAGAGCAGAAAUGUUCUGCCUCUGUCCGCUCUGAAACAUGAGGUGCAGACAUUCCAAGGCGGGCUUUAAAGAAAGCUCGGCGUACUGGAGGGCCAGCUUCCAGGCUGUCAGGACAUGUUGGAGCUCACCAAAUAGUGCACCCUCCCCUCUGCAAAGUACACAGAUACUCACGUCUAAAUAAGUUGUAAAUUGGGUUCCUUAUUAGAUUAACCCAUUGAGGGAAAAAGGAAACAGGUGGUCGGACAGAAUCAAGAAUAGAGGCGUGGGGGGACAUGAGGCAAGAUCCGAGGAGCACCCCCGGCCCCAGCAGGGGAUGUAGCAGCAACAGGCACCCUCACCAGGCCCCGUAGAAAGGACUUCGAGUGGCUGCCCAGCAGUGCAGGAGGAGGGCCAGCGAACGGGGGCUGCGAAGCCUGGUCAUACACGAUCUCCGUCCAGAUUCGUGAACUUGGCAAAGGACCUUCUCUUUGUGCAGUAAGGGGGUUGGGUUCUCAAGUGCCCUUCCAGGUCUGGCACUUCCCGCAUAGCUGAUUGACUCCUGCUGUGGGCUCCCCCAGCAAUCACAUAUUGCCUCUGUCCUAAAGGACCUGAAGAAUAAUUAAAAACAGUUUGAUGAGUUCAGUUGAGAUAUAGAAAUCCAAGAUUCAAAGCCACAUGUAUUUUCUUGAAAGAUGAUGAAUAAUAUUCCCUUCUGGAUGAAUCU